UAAAAAUGUAAAAAUAUAAAAUUAUAAAAAUAUGGAAACUUAAAAAAAUAAAAUUUGAAAAUAUGAAAAAUAAUUAUAAUGAAAUAUGAAAAAUUACUUAUAAUGAAAUAUGGAAAAUAAAUAAAUUACUAUAAAUCAUUUCGUGGACUGGAAACUAGUGAUACUCAUGUUUCCUUUGAAAUCUCUGUCUAGAUUGCUAUCAGAAAUCAAGGUGGGUGUAGUCCUCAAUUUCAAUCUAUGACAAAAAUGACAAAAUCAUUAGAAUAACUAUUCCUGGCCACGCUUAUCUGUACCGUUACUAGGGAGAGAAGGAAGAAGUACCACGGAGUUGGAUAUUGGGAAGGUAUUUGUUGGGCCAGGAUGUGCCUGUAGCUGGCAAUGUGACCAUGGUAGAACUUACCCCGUAACACACCACGUAAAGGUGUCUACCCAGCGUUACGGGUAAACCUCGUCCGGUCACGACAGUAUAAUUAAAAACAUAUCACUCGUCAAUAGAAACGUCUCGUGGCAUUUAAUGUUAGCUCGAACUAAAAAGUGAAAUCUACUUAAUCUAUAUUCUACAUCUUCGGUUGACUUACAUAGCUCAAGUUAAAGUAAAAGUAUACAGCUGAAUUAUCUCUAACCUUAAACCUACGAUACACUAGACCUACAUGCAAAGUUACAGAUAUUAAUGCAUAAGCAUCAUCAGUAGGAAUUCCGUAACCGCCUAGCCUAUUCGACACACUGUGACUGUACCUAUUCCGUGAACCCUGCAUGGUGGAACUAAACGUAAGUGAUAAUUGGCCAAAAUAACUUAAUGAACUGAAACUAAUUGUAAAAGUAACUAUCUUGGACCUAACUAUACGUAUAUUGUAAAAUGUUACAGGAAUAUAAUAAUAC